UUCCUGAUGGUCCAGCAGUUAAGCUUCCUUGCUUCCAAUGCAGGGGGCCUGGGUUCGAGCCCUGGUCAGGAAA
rnacentral:tRNA from 1 species